rnacentral:rRNA from 1 species
AGAGUUUGAUCCUGGCUCAGGACGAACGCUGGCGGCGCGCUUAACACAUGCAAGUCGAGCGAGAACCAGGCCUUCGGGCCUGGGGACAGCGGCGAACGGGUGAGUAACACGUGGGUAAUCUGCCCUCGGUACUGGGAUAGCCCGGGGAAACCCGGAUUAAUACCGGAUGGCCCUUCGGAUCCUCGGAUCUGAAGGAAAAGGUAGCUUCGGCCUCCGACCGAGGAUGAGCCCGCGGCGGAUUAGCUUGUUGGUGAGGUAACGGCUCACCAAGGCGACGAUCCGUAGCUGGUCUGAGAGGACGAUCAGCCACACUGGGACUGAGACACGGCCCAGACUCCUACGGGAGGCAGCAGUGGGGAAUCUUGUCCAAUGGGCGAAAGCCUGAGACAGCGACGCCGCGUGCGGGAAGAAGGCCUUCGGGUUGUAAACCGCUUUCAGGAGGGACGAAGCCACUCGGGUUAAUAGCCCAGAGGGUGACGGUACCUCCAGAAGAAGCCCCGGCUAACUACGUGCCAGCAGCCGCGGUAAUUC